UGAGGAACAUGACCUUCGGCGGGGGAUAGCCGGGCCCAACGGCCGGGUAAUACCGCGUACGACCAUUUGGGGACAUCCCCGAGUGGUGAAAGCAGCAAUGCGCCGAUGGAGUGCCUCGCGGCCUAUCAGCUAGUUGGUGGGGUAACGGCUCACCAAGGCAACGACGGGUAGCUGGUCUGAGAGGAUGGCCAGCCACAUUGGGACUGAGACACGGCCCAGACUCCUACGGGAGNAGCG
rnacentral:rRNA from 1 species